CCUACGGGUGGCUGCAGUUUCGAAUCAUUCACAAUGGGCGAAAGCCUGAUGGUGCGACGCCGCGUGAGGGAUGAAGGUCUUCGGAUUGUAAACCUCUGUCACUGGGGAGAAAACGCUUUGAGUUAAUAGUUCAAAGCCUGAUUUAACCCGGAGAGGAAGCAGUGGCUAACUCUGUGCCAGCAGCCGCGGUAAUACAGAGACUGCAAGCGUUAUUCGGAUGUGCGGGGGGUGUAGGGUGUGUCAGCGGUGGAAUCCCGAGGCUUAACCUCGGAACUGCGUCUGAAACUACUCGACUAGAGUACUGGAGAGGGAAACGGAAUUCACGGUGUAGCAGUGAAAUGCGUAGAUAUCGUGAGGAACACCAGAGGCGAAGGCGGUUUCCUGGACAGUUACUGACGCUCAGGCACGAAAGCAUGGGGAGCAAAAGGGAUUAGAUACCCCAGUAGUC
rnacentral:rRNA from 1 species